GGAUCAGAAACGCCCUAGUAUGACCUACUGUCCUUUUUCUUCCUGUUCCGGCCUUCCCUUCCCGGAAACGAGCUCCGUUCGGGGUAGUUGUUGCAAAGUGAAACUUAAAGGAAUGACGGAAGGGCACCACCAGGAGUGGAGCCUGGGCUUAAUUUGACUCAACACGGGAAAACUCACCCGGCCCGACACCGUGAGGAUUGACAGAUUGAUAGCUUUUUCAUGAUUCGGUGGUUGGGGUGCAUGGCCGUUCUUAGUUCGUGGAUCGAUUUGUCUGGUUAUUCCGAUAAGAGGAGACUCUAGCCUACUAACUAGUGGCGGCAUUCCGCUGUUCGCACUUCUGAGGGAUUGGCUCGUCCGCAGCACGAAAUUGAGCAAUAACAGGUCUGUGAUGCCCUUAGAUGUCCGGGGCUGCACGCGCGCUACACUGGCAAAGGCAGCGUGCUUGUCCUUCUCCGAAAGGACCCCCGAACCCCUGGAAACCCCCCCCCCAUUUGAAGGGCCCCCCCCUUUUGACCCCCCCCCCCCUUUGAACCUCCCCCCCCCC
rnacentral:rRNA from 1 species